ACCAUCGCAAAUGGGCUUAGCCGUAAAUCUGUCACCAAUCAAAUGAAAAAAUCAUUUUUAUGGCACAGAGAAAUAGCUCAAAUCACAUGCAAAACACAAAAAACACAAAAAACAAACAAAACCGACAAGCCAUCAAACAAAAAAGUCAUAAACGCCUCCAGCGAUAUCUGAAGUCUGAUUGAAGCUGCAAAUGGAAAUGGUAAUGGGAAAUGCGGGGAAUGGCGCAUGUAAAUCGCAAUUAGGAAUCAUUUCAUUGUGCUUUAUGGAUACAGCAUUUUUACAUCAGGCUGUAACCGAAUCAAUUAUUCAACAAUUGAUUGGACAUUCUGGGCAAACAAAUUAUUUAUGAAUAUCGAUGCCAGCAGUUUCAGGCCGGGAUGUGGAUCCUUUGUCUUGUGUGUGCCGCUGUCAAGUGUCGGAAGGAGGGCGAGCGGAGGCGGCAGGGUCGUUUGACAUUCUUGGGACAAGAAAGUAGGCAGAAAUACCUUUACUCUCGGACCUUUUCUUACCCGAAAGACGUUUGCCUCGGCUCCAGCUCUUACCUUACCUUUUUCCUCUUUCUGCCUAUGACUUUGACAAAACGAAGGCCAUAUUUAUGUAUCAUUCCACAGGAAACAAAGACUUAACGUCCCAGAAUGCGUA